CCAAUUCCUAUAAUAAAGAAUUCAAGUUUGACCCAGGAUAUUUUAUUCCUGGUGUUUCUGGGAGCGUUAGUAGGUUUGAUAGACCUUUACAAGAACAGGAAACGUUUGGUGACGUUGACCAGUAUGUUCUGAAUGGAUCCAAAGAGAUGUUUAGUCCGUAUACAUUGUCUUUGAGGCCAGCUGGAGACGUGGCAAACAGAAGUUAUUUUCUGCAAAAUGACAACUUUCCCAAAAAGCAAUUGAGAAACAGCAGAGGAAUACAAUAUAGAACAACCUAUUCGAUAAGCCGCGUGGCCGACUGGAACCAACCUUGCGGUUCACCGAGACAUCCGGUUGCCAGAUAUGAACUAUUUCCACAUCAGUUUUAAAAAAAAAAUGUAAAUUAUAGGUUCCCAUUAAAGAAAUAUUUU